rnacentral:misc_RNA from 1 species
UUAAGUUCAGCGGGUAGUCCUACUCGAUUUGAGGUCAAGUUGUCAGAAGUUGUCCGAAGACGGUUUGAAAGCACAGAGCUCCCAAUCAGCCACCCUCUUAUGAGGUGCCGGCGAAGACACUUAUCACGCCGUACUAUGUCCAAUCAAGAGAUGCACUAACACAUUUGAGGUGAGCCACAAGGAAAGCAGCAAGCACCCAA